rnacentral:rRNA from 1 species
CGCUGGCGGCGUGCCUAAUACAUGCAAGUCGAACGCACUCUCGUUUAGAUUGAAGGAGCUUGCUCCUGAUUGAUAAACAUUUGAGUGAGUGGCGGACGGGUGAGUAACACGUGGGUAACCUGCCCUAAAGUGGGGGAUAACAUUUGGAAACAGAUGCUAAUACCGCAUAAAACCCAACACCGCAUGGUGUAGGGUUGAAAGAUGGUUUCGGCUAUCACUUUAAGAUGGACCCGCGGUGCAUUAGUUAGUUGGUGAGGUAAAGGCUCACCAAGACCGUGAUGCAUAGCCGACCUGAGAGGGUAAUCGGCCACACUGGGACUGAGACACGGCCCAGACUCCUACGGGAGGCAGCAGUAGGGAAUCUUCCACAAUGGACGAAAGUCUGAUGGAGCAACGCCGCGUGAGUGAAGAAGGUUUUCGGAUCGUAAAACUCUGUUGUUGGAGAAGAAUGUAUCUGAUAGUAACUGAUCAGGUAGUGACGGUAUCCAACCAGAAAGCCACGGCUAACUACGUG